UACGUAGGGUGCAAGCGUUGUCCGGAAUUAUUGGGCGUAAAGAGCUCGUAGGUGGCGGGUCACGUCGGGUGUGAAAGCCCCGGGGCUUAACCCCGGGUCUGCAUUCGAUACGGGCUUGCUAGGGUCCGGCAGGGGAGACUGGAAUUCCUGGUGUAGCGGUGAAAUGCGCAGAUAUCAGGAGGAACACCAGUGGCGAAGGCGGCGUCCUGGCCUGCGACUGACGCUGUGGCGCGAAAAGCUAGGGGAGCGAACGGG
rnacentral:rRNA from 1 species